UAUUGCACUCGUCCCGGCCUGA
rnacentral:miRNA from 3 species